rnacentral:rRNA from 1 species
GUGGGGAAUCUUCCGCAAUGGACGAAAGUCUGACGGAGCAACGCCGCGUGAGUGAAGAAGGUUUUCGGAUCGUAAAGCUCUUUCGUUAGGGACGAACGUGCUCUUUGUGAAUAAUGAGGAGUAAUGACGGUACCUAAAUAAGAAGCCACGGCUAACUACGUGCCAGCAGCCGCGGUAAUACGUAGGUGGCAAGCGUUGUCCGGAAUUAUUGGGCGUAAAGCGCGCGCAGGCGGGAUAUCAAGUCUGUCGUAAAAGUGCGAGGCUCAACCUCGUGAGGGGACAGAAACUGGUAUUCUUGAGUGUCGGAGAGGAAAGUGGAAUUCCAAGUGUAGCGGUGAAAUGCGUAGAGAUUUGGAAGAACACCAGUGGCGAAGGCGACUUUCUGGACGAUGUCUGACGCUGAGGCGCGAAAGCUAGGGGAGCGAACGGGAUUAGAAACCCGGGUAGUCC